rnacentral:misc_RNA from 1 species
GACGGAGAAAUUAAAACAAAAUCUUUGACACGGUAUUACUGCACAUUUAACACAAGAAUUCUUCCUAAACUGAUAUGUAUCAUAUAAUAAAUAUCUUAAUCACCAUAUUUAUAAUGUAGCUGGAAAAGACAAACAGAUAAACGUAGUAGCAUAGACUGCAUUCCCACCACCAAAAUCCAAUUGGAGAAAACAAUAGAAAAUUUUGAGCAACAUAUCAUUUUCAGUCACUUUAAUCAUGUUAAGCAGCAAAAUCAAAUAAAUUUUUAAGUUUUGUAGAACCGUGUGAAACUUGAUUUUCUGAAACUAGACUGCCAUCGUUGUUAUUUUCUUUUUCUCACAGUUUGAUGGAUCAAUUAGAUCAUUUAAAAUACGCAUUAUUGCAUUAAGCAAAAUCAGCCAUCAGCUUCACUUCCGAAAUGAGUUUGCCAUUUU